UACGUAGGGGGCAAGCGUUGUCCGGAAUCAUUGGGCGUAAAGCGCGUGUAGGCGGCUCGGGUAGUCUGGUGUGAAAUCUUUCGGCUCAACCGGAAGCGGUCACUGGAUACUCUCGGGCUUGAGUCCGGAAGAGGAGAGUGGAAUUCCUGGUGUAGCGGUGAAAUGCGCAGAUAUCAGGAGGAACACCAAUGGCGAAGGCAGCUCUCUGGUACGUGACUGACGCUGAGACGCGAAAAGCGUGGGGGAGCGAACAGG
rnacentral:rRNA from 1 species